rnacentral:rRNA from 1 species
UAAACGACUCUCGGCAACGGAUAUCUCGGCUCUCGCAUCGAUGAAGAACGUAGCGAAAUGCGAUACUUGGUGUGAAUUGCAGAAUUCCGUGAACCAUCGAGUCUUUGAACGCAAGUUGCGCCCGAAGCCUUCUGGCCGAGGGCACGCCUGCCUGGGCGUCACGCA